rnacentral:rRNA from 1 species
GGUUAAGCGACUAAGCGUACACGGUGGAUGCCCUGGCAGUCAGAGGCGAUGAAGGACGUGCUAAUCUGCGAAAAGCGUCGGUAAGGUGAUAUGAACCGUUAUAACCGGCGAUGUCCGAAUGGGGAAACCCAGUGUGUUUCGACACACUAUCAUUAACUGAAUCCAUAGGUUAAUGAGGCGAACCGGGGGAACUGAAACAUCUAAGUACCCCGAGGAAAAGAAAUCAACCGAGAUUCCCCCAGUAGCGGCGAGCGAACGGGGAGGAGCCCAGAGCCUGAAUCAGUGUGUGUGUUAGUGGAAGCGUCUGGAAAGGCGUGCGAUACAGGGUGACAGCCCCGUACACAAAAAUGCACAUGCUGUGAGCUCGAUGAGUAGGGCGGGACACGUGGUAUCCUGUCUGAAUAUGGGGGGACCAUCCUCCAAGGCUAAAUACUCCUGACUGACCGAUAGUGAACCAGUACCGUGAGGGAAAGGCGAAAAGAACCCCGGCGAGGGGAGUGAAAAAGAACCUGAAACCGUGUACGUACAAGCAGUGGGAGCCCUGAUUUAUCAGGGUGACUGCGUACCUUUUGUAUAAUGGGUCAGCGACUUAUAUUCUGUAGCAAGGUUAACCGAAUAGGGGAGCCGGAGGGAAACCGAGUCUUAACUGGGCGUUAAGUUGCAGGGUAUAGACCCGAAACCCGGUGAUCUAGCCAUGGGCAGGUUGAAGGUUGGGUAACACUAACUGGAGGACCGAACCGACUAAUGUUGAAAAAUUAGCGGAUGACUUGUGGCUGGGGGUGAAAGGCCAAUCAAACCGGGAGAUAGCUGGUUCUCCCCGAAAGCUAUUUAGGUAGCGCCUCGUGAAUUCAUCUCCGGGGGUAGAGCACUGUUUCGGCAAGGGGGUCAUCCCGACUUACCAACCCGAUGCAAACUGCGAAUACCGGAGAAUGUUAUCACGGGAGACACACGGCGGGUGCUAACGUCCGUCGUGAAGAGGGAAACAACCCAGACCGCCAGCUAAGGUCCCAAAGUCAUGGUUAAGUGGGAAACGAUGUGGGAAGGCCCAGACAGCCAGGAUGUUGGCUUAGAAGCAGCCAUCAUUUAAAGAAAGCGUAAUAGCUCACUGGUCGAGUCGGCCUGCGCGGAAGAUGUAACGGGGCUAAACCAUGCACCGAAGCUGCGGCAGCGACACUGUGUGUUGUUGGGUAGGGGAGCGUUCUGUAAGCCUGUGAAGGUAUGCUGUGAGGCAUGCUGGAGGUAUCAGAAGUGCGAAUGCUGACAUAAGUAACGAUAAAGCGGGUGAAAAGCCCGCUCGCCGGAAGACCAAGGGUUCCUGUCCAACGUUAAUCGGGGCAGGGUGAGUCGACCCCUAAGGCGAGGCCGAAAGGCGUAGUCGAUGGGAAACAGGUUAAUAUUCCUGUACUUGGUGUUACUGCGAAGGGGGGACGGAGAAGGCUAUGUUGGCCGGGCGACGGUUGUCCCGGUUUAAGCGUGUAGGCUGGUUUUCCAGGCAAAUCCGGAGAAUCAAGGCUGAGGCGUGAUGACGAGGCACUACGGUGCUGAAGCAACAAAUGCCCUGCUUCCAGGAAAAGCCUCUAAGCAUCAGGUAACAUCAAAUCGUACCCCAAACCGACACAGGUGGUCAGGUAGAGAAUACCAAGGCGCUUGAGAGAACUCGGGUGAAGGAACUAGGCAAAAUGGUGCCGUAACUUCGGGAGAAGGCACGCUGAUGGUAGGUGAAGCGACUUGCUCGUGGAGCUGAAAUCAGUCGAAGAUACCAGCUGGCUGCAACUGUUUAUUAAAAACACAGCACUGUGCAAACACGAAAGUGGACGUAUACGGUGUGACGCCUGCCCGGUGCCGGAAGGUUAAUUGAUGGGGUCAGCGCAAGCGAAGCUCUUGAUCGAAGCCCCGGUAAACGGCGGCCGUAACUAUAACGGUCCUAAGGUAGCGAAAUUCCUUGUCGGGUAAGUUCCGACCUGCACGAAUGGCGUAAUGAUGGCCAGGCUGUCUCCACCCGAGACUCAGUGAAAUUGAACUCGCUGUGAAGAUGCAGUGUACCCGCGGCAAGACGGAAAGACCCCGUGAACCUUUACUAUAGCUUGACACUGAACACUGGUCCUUGAUGUGUAGGAUAGGUGGGAGGCUUUGAAGUGUGGACGCCAGUCUGCAUGGAGCCGUCCUUGAAAUACCACCCUUUAAUGGCUGGUGUUCUAACGUGGGCCCGUAAUCCGGGUUGCGGACAGUGUCUGGUGGGUAGUUUGACUGGGGCGGUCUCCUCCUAAAGAGUAACGGAGGAGCACGAAGGUUGGCUAAUCCUGGUCGGACAUCAGGAGGUUAGUGCAA